UACGUAGGGUCCGAGCGUUGUCCGGAAUUACUGGGCGUAAAGAGCUCGUAGGUGGUUUGUCGCGUUGUUCGUGAAAACUCACAGCUUAACUGUGGGCGUGCGGGCGAUACGGGCAGACUUGAGUACUGCAGGGGAGACUGGAAUUCCUGGUGUAGCGGUGGGAAUGCGCAGAUAUCAGGAGGAACACCGGUGGCGAAGGCGGGUCUCUGGGCAGUAACUGACGCUGGAG
rnacentral:rRNA from 1 species